UAUGUGGUUGCUAAGAGUUGACACCAACUUGACAGCACUUAAUCACUCAAUCAAUACAAUUAACAGGAGGGUUGUUGCUGGCUGUUUUGGGGGAAAUGUAAUUUUGGAUCCGAUUAAAGGUGUUUCUCCCUUCGUACUGCUCAUGCAUAAUAUCCUAAAAGGAGACAAAGGAAAAUAUAUGAGCUGAUAAAAAUAAGUGGGAGGAAAUGUUAAAAUGAAAAAGGUGGCAGAGGCGGCAGACAAUUAAUCUGACAUAUUUAUUAACAGCUGGGCAUGGUUUAUGGACAGUAUAACUGAAAAGCUACAUAUAUUUGAUGAGAGGGAAUAAUUACUGGAUAGGGAGAAUGGGGGAGAAAUGAAUUGCAAGUAAAGAAGAGUAAACUAUUCUCUGCAAAACAAGAGAAUGCAUUAGUCUGAAAGUUUUUAAUAACCUUGGAUAAGAUGGCAAGGCAUAUUCAGUGCUGGAAAACUGAUAAAUUACCAAGCUCUUCUAAAUAGUGUGGGAAGAUGUUACUCAACAUUCCCUAAACUGAAGCACUGAAUAAUAAUAUUAAUUAUGCAGACUGCCUUAUGGGGGGGGGGGGACGACACCACCUACUCAUAUUUAAUUGUUUCUUAGGGACAGAAGGUUUUGUUUUGUCAGCAAGUCAUUGCUGUUGAAUUCUGUCCCCCAUCCCUUAUAAUCUAGAGCAUGUUGCUUUAAAAUAAGCAUUUAAAAGCAAAAGUGGCAUGAGCCACAAUCAUUUGAAGAUUUUAUAUCAUGGAUCUUUACAGCUCUGCUCCUUCUAAUCACCUUGGUUGUCAUCCAGAAUAGCUGAAGGAUGAUGAGAUUGAUCCAGUCUACUACAAGUGCAGUGGGCAUAAGCAGAUGGCAGUGGCAACCCAUACAGGUGGGGCGGGGGUGGUGGUGGAAAACAAACUGCAGGUACGGCUUGUUCCCAUUCUUCUCGCCCCAUUCCAGCUGCUUCGGUCUUCCUCACGUCACCUCACCCUGCUGCAGCGUUAACCCUAGGCAUGAAAGCUGAUCAUUCGUGUGGUAGACCUGUGUCUGGAUUGUACCACUUCAGAUUACAGUGGCGGAGCACAAGCUAUGCAUGCAGAAGGUCCCAGGUUCAGACCUCAGCAUCUCCAUGUAGACCCCAGCCUCAAACCCCAGAUAUUGCCAGUCAGUGAAGAACUGAAGAAGUUGUAGGUGAGAUAUGAAGGAGAAGCAAUGCACAGGUGUGCUUCUCUAAGCUGAAAGAUGGCUGGGGCACUUGGUGAGCUCCUGACUCCUGCUGUGACUCCUGGCCUAUCUCCUGACUUCAGAUUCCAUUUGCUCCUACUGGCUCCUGACUCUCUACCUGGCUGGCCCUUAGCGUGACACUGACUACCAGCUCUGCUUUGCCCUUUGGAACUGACAGACCACUGGUUCUGACCUCUUGCCUGCUCCUGACCCUGCCUCCUGUUGGAAUCCUCUGAUUCAGUGAUGGGCCUGCUUGGUUGACCCUCUGGCAUGUAUCUGGGACUGGCUUCUGCCUCAACCACCUGGAGUGAUCUUUGACCCUCUGCACCUGUUAUUUCAUUCCUCCGUCCUAGCCUCUGGACUUUUGUCCACAAGUAUUGCUGCCCAUGGCCCAGCUACCCUAACACCUGGAAAAAUAGUAGAGCUGUGCAUUUUAACUAAUACUUGUAACAAUAAGAGGAUUAAUUGCUUCACAGUUUUGCUCAUUUAUCCAUCAUGAUUUACCACAUCAUAUUAACUGUGGUACAUGACAUGUCAGCUGCUGCACCUAAUAUGCACACAAAAGUUAUAUUUCAGCUAUCUGCGGGUGGUGGUGGUGGUGGUGGUGGUGUGUGUGUGUGUGUGUGUGUGUGUGUGUGUGUUGGUGAAGUUAAAGCAAUUUGACUUAUAGUUUAGUUUGUCAUUUUUAUGUGGGGUGUUGUUUUUUUUUUAGCAUUUUGGUUUUGGUUGGGGGCAUAUAAGUGGCAUUGAGAAUCCUAUGUAAUAUCCAAAAUUGAAAAUGCUGUAUUGGGAGUUACUGGAGGCUACUUGGAGGAAUCGAAGAGAACAUGUUGUUUAGGCCUCAUGGCUGCAUAUACAACUUCUCUACUGUUCUAGGACAACUUUGGAAGGUGUCCAAUAUGCUUCAUCUGGGCUGUGAGAGAGUGUCUCCUGAAAACAUUUUGUAUAUGUGAGGAUUUGCAAACUUACAUAUGUUUAUGACUUCUACUCACAAUAUGCAGCUGAUAGUCAGGUGUGAAAUAUAUAUUCACUAAGCCACUGUAAGCCAGAGGGUAACACUAAUACUAAAAAUCAAAGUUAUUAAAUAACAGGUACAUACUGUGUGGGAGGAGGCAAUGGUAAAGCCCUCCUGUAUUAUACUAAAGAAAACCACAGGGCUCUGUACACUUUACUUUACUUACAAUCCAAGCAGCAGAGAAUAAACAAUCUAUGUGGGAUUUAUGAACUAUCAUUGUGACAAUGAGCAAAUUUCUUUGCAUAAAUUCAUCAUGUAGUUUGGUGGUUGUCAUUAUGAAUAAAAUAA